GAUGAACGCUGGCGGCGUGCCUAAUACAUGCAAGUCGAGCGAACGGACGAGAAGCUUGCUUCUCUGAUGUUAGCGGCGGACGUGUGAGUAACACGUGGAUAACCUACCUAUAAGACUGGUAUAACUUCGGGAAACCGGAGCUAAUACCGGAUAAUAUUUUGACCCGCAUGGUUCAAAAGUGAAAGACGGUCUUGCUGUCACUUAUAGAUGGAUCCGCGCUGCAUUAGCUAGUUGGUAAGGUAACGGCUUACCAAGGCAACGAUGCAUAGCCGACCUGAGAGGGUGAUCGGCCACACUGGAACUGAGACACGGUCCAGACUCCUACGGGAGGCAGCAGUAGGGAAUCUUCCGCAAUGGGCGAAAGCCUGACGGAGCAACGCCGCGUGAGUGAUGAAGGUCUUCGGAUCGUAAAACUCUGUUAUUAGGGAAGAACAUAUGUGUAAGUAACUGUGAACAUCUUGACGGUACCUAAUCAGAAAGCCACGGCUAACUACGUG
rnacentral:rRNA from 1 species